rnacentral:rRNA from 1 species
GGGGAAUCUUGCGCAAUGGGCGAAAGCCUGACGCAGCAACGCCGCGUGGGGGAUGAAGGCUCUCGGGUUGUAAACCCCUUUCAGCAGGGACGAAUCAAGACGGUACCUGCAGAAGAAGCCCCGGCUAACUACGUGCCAGCAGCCGCGGUAACACGUAGGGGGCAAGCGUUGUCCGGAUUUAUUGGGCGUAAAGAGCUCGUAGGCGGCUGAGUAAGUCGGGUGUUAAAUCCCCAGGCUCAACCUGGGUCACCACCCGAUACUGCUCUGGCUAGAGUCCGGUAGGGGAGCGUGGAAUUCCUGGUGUAGCGGUGAAAUGCGCAGAUAUCAGGAGGAACACCAGCGGCGAAGGCGGCGCUCUGGGCCGGAACUGACGCUGAGGAGCGAAAGCGUGGGUAGCAAAC